rnacentral:rRNA from 1 species
CCUACGGGUGGCAGCAGUGAGGAAUAUUGGUCAAUGGACGAGAGUCUGAACCAGCCAAGUAGCGUGAAGGAUGACUGCCCUAUGGGUUGUAAACUUCUUUUAUAAAGGAAUAAAACGAGGCACGUGUGCCUUUUUGCAUGUACUUUAUGAAUAAGGAUCGGCUAACUCCGUGCCAGCAGCCGCGGUAAUACGGAGGAUCCGAGCGUUAUCCGGAUUUAUUGGGUUUAAAGGGAGCGUAGAUGGGUUGUUAAGUCAGUUGUGAAAGGUUGCGGCUCAACCGUAAAAUUGCAAUUGAUACUGGCAGUCUUGAGUACAGUUGAGGUAGGCGGAAUUCGUGGUGUAGCGGUGAAAUGCUUAGAUAUCACGAAGAACCCCGAUUGCGAAGGCAGCUUACUAAACUGUGACUGACAUUGAGGCUCGAAAGUGUGGGUAUCAAACAGGAUUAGAUACCCGAGUAGUC